UUAUAUUAUACAAAGACUAGUAGUUUAGAGAUCAGCUGAAUGAAGAAAAAUUUAAUGCUGAGCACCCUUUAAUGCUGAAGCUGUGUGCCGUUACCCUUGUGGUCAGAAUAUGGAGUGCUCCCAGCCCAACACUUGUACCUGUAAAGAGGGUCACACUGGAUACAACUGCCACAUCGUUGUGUGCCGACCAGACUGCAAGAACAAAGGGAAGUGUGUGAAGCCCAAUGUGUGUGAAUGUCCUGCAAGGAAAAUGGCCCCACCUGUGAGGAAGCCAGCUGUGACCCGCAUUGUCAACAUGGUGGCCGCUGUUUGUCCAGAAAUCACUGCACUUGUCCUUAUGGCUAUGUGGGACCAAGAUGUGAAACUAGUGGGCAGACAUUUCCACAUUUCUAAAUAUGAAGAAUUUUGUUCAUAAUGAUUGUGUGCCAUUGCCUUUGAGUGUUUUCAGUGGUGUGUAACAGACAUUGUGAAAAUGGUGGCAUGUGUGUGUCACCUGAUGUCUGUAAGUGUAAACCCGGCUGGUAUGGACCAACGUGUAACUCAGCCGACUGUAAGCCCUUGUGCUUAAACGGAGGGACUUGUAUCAAACCAAACAUCUGUGCCUGUCCUAGUGGCUUCUAUGGUUCACAGUGCCAGAUAGACUAGGUGAUUAAGAACUGAAAUUGAAGAUGACGUUAUCAUAGCAUUAGUGCCCUAAAAGUGAAGGAAACUUUUAUUGUACUUCAAUUAGAAAAUAAGACUUUUUUAAGACCCUGUAUUAGAUUAUUACAGUAUUUAAAGUGUUACACUGUAUGUGCAUGUUGUGCAGCUCUGAC
ensembl:lncRNA